GUCUACAACCCUGCCACCCUGAAUGUGCCUGAUCUCGUCUGAUCUCGGAAGCUAAGCAGGAUCAGGCCUGGUUAGUACUUGGAUGGGAAACUACCUAGGAAGACCAGGUGCUGUAGGUG
rnacentral:rRNA from 1 species